AAAGUAAUUUUAUUAUAUGGAAGACAAGUUUAAUGGGCCAAUCUGGAGCUCUGGAUGACACUAGUGAGCUCUUCGAUUUUACCCUUGGCACGCUUCAAAGUACCGAGCUAAAACCUGUUAGUAUUCAUUCACAAAAUUAAAAAAAAAAAAAUUAAAUUAAAUGCACUCAAAAGGUUACUUACUCUCUUCUUGGCAAGCUUGCGAGCACGCUUGUCUUGGGAGUUACGGAUCAAUUCCAUGACACGGCGUUCAUAAGGAGCAAAUCCAGCAACUUCACGCACAAUAGAUCGGACGAAAGCAGUACGCUUGGACAAAUGUCCCUUGCGGCGAGAAGGACGCUCAGGAAGUUGACGCUUAGUCAAAGUCUUUCCCUUGUUUAAACCAACAACCAGUCCAGGUGCCAUCGUGUAAAGUCUACACUGUACCUACCGUCUGGAAAAAACUUUUGGUAGCAUGGCGUGACUGUUUUCAACCAACCCUACCCUAUCUUUUGAAAUAUUUGUGCCUUUGCCUAAGCAGGCAAAAACUCAAUGUUUGUUUUGAAUAUUGAAUAUAGUUUUCAUCCCAGGGCUACAGUUUUCAUAUGAAGUCUUUUUGUAAUCAUUUAGCCCUAAUGAAAAAAAUAAAAUUUAUGUAGAAAUUAUGUUUUGAAAUCCAGUAAGUAACAUUUAAAUUGUUUGAGUUCACGUUUAAACCGUAUUUUGUUGUUUUCUGUAUAUAUUUUCAACAUGAAUU